UACGGAGGGGGCUAGCGUUGUUCGGAAUUACUGGGCGUAAAGCGCACGUAGGCGGCUUUGUAAGUCAGAGGUGAAAGCCCGGGGCUCAACCCCGGAAUUGCCUUUGAGACUGCGAGGCUUGAAGGUGAGAGAGGUGAGUGGAAUUCCGAGUGUAGAGGUGAAAUUCGUAGAUAUUCGGAAGAACACCAGUGGCGAAGGCGGCUCACUGGCUCAUACUUGACGCUGAGGUGCGAAAGCGUGGGGAGCAAACAGG
rnacentral:rRNA from 1 species